UGACAGAGAAUCCACGUCGUUGACACCGUGGGGAGGUGUGAGAUAGCUGGAAACAUUCUAUCCACUCUUGCACUGAACGUUUGCGUUUGUUUUUUCGUGCUUCUCUCUCCAGGAUUACCCGAAGGCGACCAGAUUAAAACAAACUGUUCGAACCUUUUGGAGCUAAAAAAACAAAAAUCCCUCGAUAUGAAUGAACAUAUAUUUCAAAUAUUACUCGUCUACAUGCCCAGUCUUGAUUCUUGGUGUUCCCAAUCUUCAGGUUCAAUGGCGAGUGACAUGCCUUGGAAUCGAAAACCCAUGCGUGAAGGGGUAAAAAUAAAAUUGGGGCACUUGUUGAGGAUUUAGCUGCCGAACACUUACAGUGGGGACACGAUCUCAGGCACCCCGAACUGGUGCGAUCUAGUAUUUUGGACUGUUUCAAUCGUUGACUAAGUUAACUGUUGAUUAGCACCCGAUUCACGGGAUUAGCUGCUUCUGUGAUUCAUGCAGGCAAGCUAAUUCUGGAGCUGAAGCGGAUAUUUGGUUCAAUGCAUACAUGUUUAUAUUGUGGUUAUUUAUACCAAACAUUAAACUGAUUUGGUGAGAUGAUCCAUAAUUUUCGUAUAAGAAUCUGCCGCUUUCAUGGGAAGGUUGAUGUCUGAAGCCGAUUUCUGACGAUUAUAUUGGAACAUACGCAUUUUAGGUUUUCAGUCUGCUGCAUGAAAUGUGCAGUAGGGCAGAGUUAACUGGUCAGGGGGCUUUCUCUGUGACAUAUUUGAGUGUACUCAGUUUGUACUUCAAAUGACACAAAAGUUGCAUUGGAUGUACUGAAUCAGACCACGGACGCUUUGUGGUGAGUUUGUCUGAGGGACAGAAUGCCUAACCCGUAC
rnacentral:lncRNA from 1 species